AAGUUAUAAAGCUAUAAAAAUUAAGAUGGUGUUUUCAUUGUUUUGAACAGAGGUGCUACAGCAAGUGGGUCUUGUCACAUUUGGGGGGCUGUAGCCAUGUCCCUCAAAGUGAAUUUGGAGGCUCUACACAC